rnacentral:rRNA from 1 species
AUUGAACGCUGGCGGCAGGCCUAACACAUGCCAGUCGAGCGGAUGAAGGGAGCUUGCUCCUGGAUUCAGCGGCGGACGGGUGAGUAAUGCCUAGGAAUCUGCCUGGUAGUGGGGGAUAACGUCCGGAAACGGGCGCUAAUACCGCAUACGUCCUGAGGGAGAAAGUGGGGGAUCUUCGGACCUCACGCUAUCAGAUGAGCCUAGGUCGGAUUAGCUAGUUGGUGGGGUAAAGGCCUACCAAGGCGACGAUCCGUAACUGGUCUGAGAGGAUGAUCAGUCACACUGGAACUGAGACACGGUCCAGACUCCUACGGGAGGCAGCAGUGGGGAAUAUUGGACAAUGGGCGAAAGCCUGAUCCAGCCAUGCCGCGUGUGUGAAGAAGGUCUUCGGAUUGUAAAGCACUUUAAGUUGGGAGAAAGGGCAGUAAGUUAAUACCUUGCUGUUUUGACGUUACCAACAGAAUAAGCACCGGCUAACUUCGUG